UCUCUCUCUCUCUCUCUCUCUCUCUCUUCCUCUCCCCCCUCCCUCUGGGGCAGGCACCUUCUCCUUCAGAUAAUAAAAUCUCUUACGUGGACCCAUGUCUCCUGAGUCAUUCUGGGCUCACCGUCCACUUCCCCACUCACUCAUCUUCUCGCCCAACACCGGCCUUCGAUUUGAAGCCACAAAACUGCAAAUAGCAAUAGAAAUGAAAUCCAGAAUAGAAGUGUCAACCUUCCGAGGCCCUCUCAACUGACCAGUGAUGGAGACCUAGCUGCACCCUUUACUGCACCCCCUCUCAGCAUGAAGAAGCCAGAGUGGUCAUCGUCCCCUUUCCCUAGCAGCAGCUAGGUUCUCCAUCUGUAGAGGGGGGAAUGACAUAGGGACCA